GAUGAACGCUGGCGGCGUGCCUAAUACAUGCAAGUCGAGCGAACAGACGAGGAGCUUGCUCCUCUGACGUUAGCGGCGGACGGGUGAGUAACACGUGGAUAACCUACCUAUAAGACUGGGAUAACUUCGGGAAACCGGAGCUAAUACCGGAUAAUAUAUUGAACCGCAUGGUUCAAUAGUGAAAGACGGUUUUGCUGUCACUUAUAGAUGGAUCCGCGCCGCAUGAGCUAGUUGGUAAGGUAACGGCUUUCCAAGGCAACGAUGCGUAGCCGACCUGAGAGAGUGAUAGGCCACCCUGGAGCGGAGACACGGACCAGACGCCUACGGGAGGCAGCAGUAGGGAAUCUGCCGCAAUGGGCGAAAGCAUGACGGAGCAACGCCGCGUGAGUGAUGAAGGUCUUCGGAUCGUAAAACUCUGUUAUGAGGGAAGAACAAAUGUGGAAGUAAAUAUGCACGUCGUGACGGUAACUAAUCAGAAAGCCACGGCUAACUACGUG
rnacentral:rRNA from 1 species